AAUAUGAAGUAAUAAAUACAACUAGUUUCGACCUAGAAUUAGAGUCUUCUCCUUAUUUUA
rnacentral:tRNA from 1 species